GACGAACGCUGGCGGCGUGCCUAAUACAUGCAAGUUGAGCGCUGACGGAUGGUACUUGUACUAACUGGAUGAGCAGCGAACGGGUGAGUAACGCGUGGGGAAUCUGCCUUUGAGCGGGGGACAACAUUUGGAAACGAAUGCUAAUACCACAUAAAAACAUUAAACACAAGAUGUAAGUUUGAAAGAUGCAAUUGCAUCACUCAAAGACGAUCCCGCGUUGUAUUAGCUAGUUGGUGAGGUAAAGGCUCACCAAGGCGUUGAUACAUAGCCGGCCUGGGAGGGUGGUCGGCCAAAAUGGGACUGGGACACGGCCCAAACUCCUACGGGGGGCAGCAGUAGGGGAUCUUCGGCAAUGGACGAAAGUCUGAACGAGCAACGCCGCGUGAGGGAAGAAGGUUUUCGGAUCGUAAAACUCUGUUGGUAGAGAAGAACGUUGGUGAGAGUGGAAAGCUCAUCAAGUGACGGUAACUACCCAGAAAGGGACGGCUAACUACGUG
rnacentral:rRNA from 1 species